UACGUAGGGGCCGAGCGUUGUCCGGAGUUAUUGGGCGUAAAGAGCGCGCAGGCGGUCAGAUAAGUCGAAUGUGAAAGCCCCCGGCUCAACUGGGGAGGGUCAUUCGAUACUGUUCGACUCGAAGGCAGGAGAGGGAAGUGGAAUUCCCGGUGUAGUGGUGAAAUGCGUAGAUAUCGGGAGGAACACCAGUGGCGAAGGCGACUUCCUGGCCUGUUCUUGACGCUGAGGCGCGAAAGCUAGGGGAGCAAACGGG
rnacentral:rRNA from 1 species